AACGGCCGUACCAUGCUGAAUAUACCGGUUCUCGUUAGAUCACCGAAGUCAAGCAUCAUUGGGCGCGGUCAGUACUUGGGUGGGUGACCACCUGGGAACA